UACGUAGGGUGCAAGCGUUAAUCGGAAUUACUGGGCGUAAAGCGUGCGCAGGCGGUUUUGUAAGUCAGAUGUGAAAAUCCCCCGGGCUUAACCUGGGAACUGCGUUUGAAACUACAAGGCUAGAGUGUGGCAGAGGGGGGGUGGAAUUCCACGUGUAGCAGUGAAAUGCGUAGAGAUGUGGAGGAACACCGAUGGCGAAGGCAGCCCCCUGGGUUAACACUGACGCUCAGGCACAAAAGCGUGGGGAGCAAACAGG
rnacentral:rRNA from 1 species